CAGGAGCAGAUAGCGUCAAAGUAGUGGAAUGGGGUAGUGGGUUUUUAAUGAUUGUAGAGUUUUUGCAUUGCCCGUUUUCUCAUUUUGUAUCAUAAAGUGUAAUGGGUUUAUAUUAUAGUCCAGUUGGGGGCGGUAAUGCUACAUAUUUGAUUCCAACCGCCGUUAAACUCCAAAGAAGAGAAUGAAGUUGUUCCGGGGAAGCGCGCUCCAUUCUUCAGCUAAAGAAAGCGCUAGAACUGUGCUGUGAAGAAGAAGAAAAAAUAAAAUAAAAAUAAAAAUAAAUAAAUAAACUGUGCUGUGAAGACGGUAAGCGUUGUAUUUAUUACUACAGGCCAACUCAGAUUAAGUCUGAGGCCGGUAACAUCAACAGUGAGGACAAACCCAGCCUGCCUCUCUCCUUCCACACUGAGUCCAAACCUACAGUCACUGGGUCCUGAUUGUGACAGUGGAGCCCAGUUUGCACUGCAGGAUCCAGAGAUGUCAUCAGUGAAGCUGGAAGACUGCAGUCAAACACUGGAGCUGAAUGUCAUCAUUAAAGAUGAAGAGGAGGAGAAAUCGGUUUCUCUUAGAGACCAUGUUGAGACAUUCUCUACAUCCAGAGAGCAACAGCAGGAAGAUCAUGGAGCUAAGAGGUCUCACCACUGCCCACAUUGUGAGGAGGAUUUUUCAAUUCUAUCAAAGCUAAAAUUACAUAUAAAAAUACACACAGGAGAGAAUCUGUAUUCCUGUACUGACUGUGGGAAGAAUUUCACAACGUCAAAGGCUCUGACAGUUCAUCAGAGAGUGCACAGAGGAAAGAAGCCCUACUCCUGCUCUGACUGUGGGGCGAGUUUCUCUCAACUGGGCACCUUAAAAAGACAUGAACGUAUACACACAGAAGAGAAGCCUUACUCCUGCUCUGACUGUGGAAAGAGUUUCUCUCAACUGGGCGACUUAAAAACACAUGAACGUAUACAUACAGGAGAGAAGCCUUACUCCUGCUUUGACUGUGAAAAAUGCUUCAAAACAUCAACUGAGCAAAAAGUUCAUCAGAGAACACACACAGGAGAGAAGCCUUACUCCUGCUCUGACUGUGGAAAGAGGUUCUCUCAACUGGGGAACUUAAAAACACAUGAACGUAUACACACAGGAGAGAAGCCUUACUCCUGCUCUUAAUAUGGCAAGAGUUUCUACCGAUUGGGCAAUGUAAAGACACACUAACGGAUAGACACUUGAGAGAAGCCUUAUCAUUGUACUGAUUGUGAGAAGAGAUUCUACAGAUUGGGCCAUUUAAAAAGACACCAAUGUAUACAUAAAGGAGAGAAGCCUCAUCAGUUCUCUCAGACCAGCUAAGAUUAGUCACUCCACUUAAUUCUCAUGUCAUUAAAUAAUUGGCAACAUUGAAUUGGAUCAAAUGAAGCAUAGAACACUAUUGUAAAAAAAAAACAUUAAAGACACCUGCUCUUUCCAUGACAGACUGACCAGGUGAACCCAGGUGGGCUAAGGAAUGAAAACACUGGACACUGGAACAUUUGAAAACUAUUGCCUGGUCUGAUGAAUCCUGGUUCCUGCUGUUUCACGCUGAUGGGAGGACUAGGGUAUGGAGGAAACCACGAGUACAUGCAUCCAGUGGUGGAAAAAGUAACUAACUGUCAUACUUGAGUGAAAGUAAUGAUACCUUAAUAGAAAAUGACUCAGUAAAAUACCCAGUAAAAUACUACUUCAGCAAAAGUCUAAAAGCUUUUGGUUGUAAAUAUACUUAUGUAUCAAAAGUAAAAGUAAUUGCUAAAAUAUACUUAAUCAAAAGUAAAAGUAGGAAUCAUUUCUAAUUCCUUAAAUUAAGCAAACCAGACUGCAAAACUUUUUAUAUUUUUUAUAUUACAGAUAGCCAGGGGCACACUCCAACACUCAGACAUCAUUUACAAAUUAAACAUUUGUGUUUAGUGAGUCCACCAGAUUAGAGGCAGUAAGGAUGACCAGGGAUGUUAUCUUCAUAAGUGCGUGAAUUGGAUCAUUUUCUGUCCUGCUAAUCCUAAAAAAAUGUGACAAGUACUUAUGGGUGUCAGGGAAAAUGUAUGGAGUAAAAAGUACAUUUUCUUUAGAAAUGUUGUGAAAUAAAAGUAAAAGUUGUCAAAAAUAUAAAUAGUAAAGUACAGAUACCCCCCAAAAACUACUGAAGUAGUUUAAAUCAUUUUUACUUCAGUACUUUACACCACUGUAUGUAUCCAUGUCGUGUGUCAGCAUUGCAAGCUGGUGGUGUGAUGGCGUGGGGUGUGUUUUCAGGGCCCACAUUGGGCCCCUUGAUAAAAGAUGAACAAUGUUUGAAUGCCACAGGAUGUCUAAACAUCAUUGCCAAUCAGGUGCAUCCCUUCACGGCAGCAGUGUAUCCAUCUACAAAUAGAUUAUUUUCAGCAGGAUUAUGCCCCAUGGCACAAGGCUUGUCCAGGAAUGGUUCCAAGAACAUGACAGUGAAUUCAGCUUACUGCAGUGGCCUGCCGAGUCACCAGAUCUCAAUCCAAUUGUGCAUCUGUGGGAGGAGAUGGAACAAGCUAUUCAGAGUAGAUCCACUCCCAGCCAAUUUGACACAAUUGUAGGAAGCAUUGGAGUCAACAUGGACCAGCAUCUCUGUGGAAUGUUCUCAACACCUUGGACAGUCUAUGCCUGACGAAUUGAGGCUGUUCUGAGGACAAAUGGGGUGCAACUCAAUAUUAGGAAGUUGUUUCUAAUGUUUUAUACACUCAGUGUAUAUCAGAUAAAGAUGGUGUAAUGAUCAGUUUUUAGUGUUAGUUUGGGUGGAUUAUUUUAUAUUACUAAACUAUUUUGUUUAAUGAUAAACAGGCUAUGAAUCGACUACUUGUGUUUAUUAAAUUGUAUUUUAAUACUGGAUUCAUUAUUUUAGUCAUUGAUGAAUGUAUUUGAAUAACUGUAUUGAAGGUAAUUGAUCUGGCGGCAGGUAGCCUAGUGGUUAAGAGUGUUGGGCCAGUAACUGAAAGGUUGCUGGUUUGAAUCCCAAGCCGACUAGUUGAAAAAUCUGCCACUGUGCCCUUGAGCAAGCCAAUUAACUCUUAUUUGUCCUGUAAAUUGCUCUGGAUAAGAGCAUCUGCUAAAUGACAAGAAUGUAAUGAAAAAUGUUUGUACAUGAAUUUAUGCUGAGCAACCUCUUCUUCUCGUGUAUAAUUAAAUAAACUGAAGUGAAAUACUGUAUAUACAA